UUAAAUUGAAGAGUUUGAUCAUGGCUCAGAUUGAACGCUGGCGGCAGGCCUAACACAUGCAAGUCGAACGGUAACAGGAAGCAGCUUGCUGCUUUGCUGACGAGUGGCGGACGGGUGAGUAAUGUCUGGGAAACUGCCUGAUGGAGGGGGAUAACUACUGGAAACGGUGGCUAAUACCGCAUAACGUCGCAAGACCAAAGAGGGGGACCUUCGGGCCUCUUGCCAUCAGAUGUGCCCAGAUGGGAUUAGCUUGUUGGUGAGGUAACGGCUCACCAAGGCGACGAUCCCUAGCUGGUCUGAGAGGAUGACCAGCCACACUGGAACUGAGACACGGUCCAGACUCCUACGGGAGGCAGCAGUGGGGAAUAUUGCACAAUGGGCGCAAGCCUGAUGCAGCCAUGCCGCGUGUAUGAAGAAGGCCUUCGGGUUGUAAAGUACUUUCAGCGGGGAGGAAGGUGUUGUGGUUAAUAACCGCAGCAAUUGACGUUACCCGCAGAAGAAGCACCGGCUAACUCCGUGCCAGCAGCCGCGGUAAUACGGAGGGUGCAAGCGUUAAUCGGAAUUACUGGGCGUAAAGCGCACGCAGGCGGUCUGUCAAGUCGGAUGUGAAAUCCCCGGGCUCAACCUGGGAACUGCAUUCGAAACUGGCAGGCUUGAGUCUUGUAGAGGGGGGUAGAAUUCCAGGUGUAGCGGUGAAAUGCGUAGAGAUCUGGAGGAAUACCGGUGGCGAAGGCGGCCCCCUGGACAAAGACUGACGCUCAGGUGCGAAAGCGUGGGGAGCAAACAGGAUUAGAUACCCUGGUAGUCCACGCCGUAAACGAUGUCUACUUGGAGGUUGUGCCCUUGAGGCGUGGCUUCCGGAGCUAACGCGUUAAGUAGACCGCCUGGGGAGUACGGCCGCAAGGUUAAAACUCAAAUGAAUUGACGGGGGCCCGCACAAGCGGUGGAGCAUGUGGUUUAAUUCGAUGCAACGCGAAGAACCUUACCUGGUCUUGACAUCCACGGAAGUUUUCAGAGAUGAGAAUGUGCCUUCGGGAACCGUGAGACAGGUGCUGCAUGGCUGUCGUCAGCUCGUGUUGUGAAAUGUUGGGUUAAGUCCCGCAACGAGCGCAACCCUUAUCCUUUGUUGCCAGCGAUUAGGUCGGGAACUCAAAGGAGACUGCCAGUGAUAAACUGGAGGAAGGUGGGGAUGACGUCAAGUCAUCAUGGCCCUUACGACCAGGGCUACACACGUGCUACAAUGGCGCAUACAAAGAGAAGCGACCUCGCGAGAGCAAGCGGACCUCAUAAAGUGCGUCGUAGUCCGGAUUGGAGUCUGCAACUCGACUCCAUGAAGUCGGAAUCGCUAGUAAUCGUGGAUCAGAAUGCCACGGUGAAUACGUUCCCGGGCCUUGUACACACCGCCCGUCACACCAUGGGAGUGGGUUGCAAAAGAAGUAGGUAGCUUAACCUUCGGGAGGGCGCUUACCACUUUGUGAUUCAUGACUGGGGUGAAGUCGUAACAAGGUAACCGUAGGGGAACCUGCGGUUGGAUCACCUCCUUACCUUAAAGAAGC
rnacentral:rRNA from 29 species